CACUUCUCCCCAGGUGGCUGCAUUCUGAGUUUUCCCUCCAAUUUGUACAAUUAUGGGAAAAAAAACAUAAGUAAACAACGUCUACUGAGUCGCCCUUGUGGAGUGCUGACCAAAUAUGGGCGCAUUCCUGGAGUGACAUCAGCAAGGGCCGCAGACAUGAAUGAACAUGUGCCAGACUCCGCUCACCUGCGUGUUUGGUGAAACAGGUACACAGGACUCUGGAUUCUGAAUGAGGCCUGGCACCCGAAAAAUGGAAAGAAUCUGCAGUGAGAGACAGAGACAUUACCCAGAGAAAGUGUCUGUGAGGCCACAGAGCUCAGUGAGACAGAAGUGAGGGGAAUGCAGCAAAUACUUUCCAUGUUCUUCGUAAGAUUCACAUAUAACAUACGGGAAUACGUGUGCUUAAGUCAUUCAACAUGUGUAACAUCCAUUCUGAUUUGAAAAGUGAAACUCUGUUUCCAUGAACACAGUUUAGUCAGGGGAUUCCCCUUCCUGGCACUGCCUGGCUUAUGGGUCGAGUCCGCUUCGGAUCUCAUGUUAUAAGAUUUUUAUUGCAUUAAAUAAAAACACAAAGUCAGACUCAGGCAGACACACAAUCUACGUCUGGAGAAACAUCAUGAGGGAUCUGUUUUCAUCUCAGUCUAUAGUCUGAAAAAUAUGACAGAAAAAUAGCAGUGUGUGUCACAUCAACUGUGACUU